rnacentral:lncRNA from 1 species
GAGUGUAACUAUGGCCGGCCUGCGGAACGAAAGUGAACAGGAGCCGCUCUUAGGCGACACACCUGGAAGCAGAAUGGGACAUUUUAGAGACUGAAGAGCAUUAUAAGAGCCGAUGGAGAUCUAUUAGGAUUUUAUAUCUUACUAUGUUUCUCAGCAGUGUAGGGUUUUCUGUAGUGAUGAUGUCCAUAUGGCCAUAUCUCCAAAAGAUUGAUCCGACAGCUGAUACAAGUUUUUUGGGCUGGGUUAUUGCUUCAUAUAGUCUUGGCCAAAUGGUAGCUUCACCUAUAUUUGGUUUAUGGUCUAAUUAUAGACCAAGAAAAGAGCCUCUUAUUGUCUCCAUCUUGAUUUCCGUGGCAGCCAACUGCCUCUAUGCAUAUCUCCACAUCCCAGCUUCUCAUAAUAAAUACUACAUGCUGGUUGCUCGUGGAUUGUUGGGAAUUGGAGCAGCAGUUGUUAGAUCAUAUACUGCUGGUGCUACUUCCCUUCAGGAAAGAACAAGUUCCAUGGCAAACAUAAGCAUGUGUCA